CACCAGCCCCUCGAGUGGUGGGGAUGAUUAUUUGGCCUAAAGCGUCCGUAGCCGGCCGGGUAAGUUUCCCGUUAAAUCCAGCGUCUCAAGCGUUGGACUGCGGGAAAUACUGCCUGGCUAGAGAGUGGGAGAGGUCAGCGGUAUUCUGGGGGUAGGGGCGAAAUCCUUUGAUCCCCGGAGGACCACCAGUGGCGAAGGCUGCUGACUAGAACACGUCUGACGGUCAGGGACGAAAGCUGGGGUAGCGAACCGGAUUAGAUACCCGGGUAGUCCCAGCCGUAAACGAUGCAUGCUAGGUGUUGGGUUGGCCACGAGCCACCCCAGUGCCGCAGGGAAGCCGUUAAGCAUGCCGCCUGGGAAGUACGAUCGCAAGAUUAGAAACUUAAAGGAAUUGGCGGGGAGCACCACCAGGCGUGAAGCUUGCGGUUU
rnacentral:rRNA from 1 species